rnacentral:rRNA from 1 species
UACGUAGGGUCCGAGCGUUGUCCGGAGUUACUGGGCGUAAAGCGCGCGCAGGCGGUCGGUGCUGGCCCGGCGUGAAAGCCCCCGGCUCAACCGGGGAGAGUCGUCGGGGACCGCACCGCUUGAGGGCGGUAGGGGCUGGUGGAAUGGCCUGGUGUAGUGGUGAAAUGCGUAGAGAUCAGGCAGAACGACCUGGGGCGAAGGCGGCCAGCUGGGCCGUCCCUGACGCUGAGGCGCGAAGGCGUGGGGAGCGAACGGG